UACAGAGGGUGCGAGCGUUAAUCGGAAUUACUGGGCGUAAAGCGUGCGUAGACGGUUAUUUAAGUCGGGUGUGAAAGCCCCGGGCUCAACCUGGGAAUUGCAUUCGAGACUGAAUAGCUAGGGUACGGUAGAGGGAAGUGGAAUUUCCGGUGUAGUGGUGGAAUGCGUAGAUAUCGGGAGGAACACCAGUGGCGAAGGCGGCUUCCUGGACCGACAUUGACGCUGAGGAGCGAAAGCUAGGGGAGCAAACGGG
rnacentral:rRNA from 1 species